AUAUUCCCAUAAUCUUAUUCUGAAGAAACAGAAGCAUCCUUAUUUUGAAGAAACCGAUCGACUCUCUCUCUCUCAACCCUAAUCGCUCUCAACCGAUCGAAUCAACAAUGAUUCAUCUCAGUGAUUUCGAUUCAUCUCAGAGAGGGAGUGAGAGGUUCAUCUUAGAGCAAUUUCGACUUUGAUUUCAAAGUUCUCUCUCUUGAUUUCGAAGUUCUGUCUCUCUCGAUUUCGAAGCUCCACCGCCACCACCAUCUUCUGCACCGGCGAGAGCGAGCACCAUCGUCUACUAAGGAGUUUGGUCAUCAUGUUAGGUUGGCAACUCAUGUUAACUUCUCUACUUUUGUGAAGUCAGCUGGUAUAGACUUCUACCCUUUCGGCGGUGAUCCUCGGGUUUUGGCAGGAUUUCUCCCCUGCGAUGAUAGAUAUGGCCAGGAACAAAGGUUUAAUUCCAUCUGCGCCAGGAGAAAUAUCUAUACAGAGAAAGCAACUAAAGGCCAUUAUCGAAUCUCUUUUACCGGCAUGCACUGAACCAGAUGUAGAUACGGGUGAGCCUUUUAGAGCUCAGGCAAUUAUUGCAAUUCCUCCCGCUUAUGGUGGGAAGAGGGGGAGUAGUAGGUGUUGCAAGUGGUUUUUAGGUUGUCCCCUUAACCAAGUUUUUGGUUGUUUUAUUAAACAUAAUUUACUCAUAUCCCGUCUUUACCUUAGAAGUGCUUAUUAGUUGGGUUUUGGUUCACAAAUUUUUCUUAAAGGUGGCAAUUAGUUGGGUUUGCAAAUCAAGUUGUGAAUUGGCUGAUUCAUUAUUGAGCCAUAAAUUUGUUAAAAAUAUUUCAUUGGUUUGGUUGUUUUGCUUGAUUAUCGAAAUACAUUGCUUUUUAAUCAAUAUAUAGAUUUUCUAAUUUAUUUUACUUUUUUUAAUUUUUGUUGCAUUUUUUUCAUUCUCAAAAGUGGCGGAGAGAAGAAGUAACCCAAUAUCUAGCUUUGUAUUGCACUGUAAAGAUUGGUUCAAUUGAAUUGAUCAAUUGGAUGUUGAAUAAUGCGAAAGACCACAAAAUUUGGCAACUAUGGGAUGUAAUCUUCUAGGGAUGUACAAAAAUUGGGGUACAGUAAAUGAUCAUCUCUAAACAAAUUGUCUUCAUUGUUCAAAGUACUCUAUAGAGGACUUCUUUGGUACCCAAAAGCAUUAUUGAAGUGGACUUCUUUGGUAUUUUGUACAAGAUUUUGCUUAGGAUGGUAAAACUUUGAUGCGAAAGUUCUGGCCAUAAAUCGGGCAGAGAUCCUCUCCAUUUCAUUGUUAUAAUGGAAGAUCUCCAUUAUAUCGUCUAAGAAUUGUAAAAUAAUAAUGAGAAUUUAUCAAUAUUUUAAAUUUAUAAAAAAUUAUUACAAAUUCUUCAAUAAUGUAAUGGAGAUCUUUCAUUAUAAUUUUGAAAAAGAGAGGAUCACAAUUCUCAAGAAUCAACCUCUACUCAAAAACAGGUAUAUCAUUGGUGC